AACAAUGGGGAAUUUUGUGAUCUGGGCUGCCGCCUGAGUGAAGAUGCCUUCUGAUUGAAGAACGCUUUCGGGUUGUAAAGCUCUUUUGUCAGGGAAGAAACGAAGAGAGCUAUAAUCUCUUGCUAAUGACCGCGCCUGACGAAUAGGCGCUAGCGUAACUACGUGCCGACUGCCCGUAAAAUACGUAUAGGUGCAAGCGUUAAUCGGAAUUACUGGUCGUAAAGCUUGCGCUGGCGGUUGCUGUUAGAUACGUCGUGAAAGCCCCUGGGCUCAGACUGUCGAAUUGUUCCCAAGACUGCAGGUGCUUGUCUCUGGAUAUAGGGGAAGAACAAUUCCACGUGAAGGCGGCGACCUGCGUUCAUGAUGUGAAGCUAACCGAUAAAGCAUGCGGAGCCCUGGGUCUUAGAUGACGCGCAUG
rnacentral:rRNA from 1 species